GCCUCUUACUGGCUAUACUGCCUUGGGCAAGUGGCUUGACCUCUCUAAGCCUCAGUUUCCUCCUCUGUGGAAUACGGGUCUAGAAGGUGCUUGUGAAGAUCCAGGGUGAUGAUGCAGAUGGGGUGCCAGAUACAUAGUCAGCAACCAAUGAAUGUCGGCUGUACCUGGUCCCAAUUCCGAGAUUCACGCCCUCUGGAAAUCGCAGGUGGUGGGGGUGGGAUCCAGUGCCAGACAGCUCUAUGAACACGCUCUCCUGGCUACCUGGGCUUCAUCUGUUUGCUUAGGACUGACAGUGAGAUAAGAGAGGAUGAUUCCCCCCGCCCCGAGCCACAUGUUAGUGAAGCGGUAGAGAUAAUGCUGCUGUGAGUCCUGACGGAAAGUUGCUGGGGAGCAUCUUUAAAGUGCUCCUGGCUUGGUACACUACCCACUCGGGGCUUUGUGGCAAACUAUUCCCCCUGACUGCUACGGAACCUGGCUUCCAAUACCAUCUCCUCGCCCCUGCCCACCAUCUCCCUAUCUGAAUCCUAUUCACUUUUCAGGUCUUGGCUCAAAUGCUGCCUCCCCUAUGAAGAUGUCCUGACCCUCCCAGCCUAGAGUGACUGCUCCCUCCUUGAGUCUCAGGAUCUCCAACUGUGACAUGGGCAUACUGUUUGCAACAUACCCACAGAUGGAUUGUGAUGAGGAAGGAAAGAGAGAGUCCAUGUAGCAUGCUAAGUGUAGUGUCUGGUGCAGGCCUGUGCAUCUCAAGAAGUGGGAUGGAGUCUGAGGCAGGUGGAUCACUUGAGUCCUGGAGUUCGAGAUCAGCCUGGGCACCAUGGAGAAACCCGACUCUACCAAAAAUACAAGAGUACACACACACACAAAUAGCCAGGGGCAGUAACACAUGCCUGCAGUCCCAGCUUAUUGUGAGGCUGAGGUAGGAAAAUCGCU
rnacentral:lncRNA from 1 species